GAAUUGCUAGUAAUCGCGGAUCAGCAUGCCGCGGUGAAUACGUUCCCGGGCCUUGUACACACCGCCCGUCACACCAUGGAAGUCGGUAAUGCCCGAAGUCAGUAGCCUAACCGCAAGGGGGGCGCUGCCGAAGGCAGGAUUGAUGACUGGGGUGAAGUCGUAACAAGGUAAC
rnacentral:rRNA from 1 species